rnacentral:piRNA from 1 species
CACCAUGGUUCAUACAUGUGUCUACUUAUGU